GAUGAACGCUGGCGUAUGCCUAACACAUGCAAGUCGUACGAGAGUUUUUAACUCUAGUGGCGGACGGGUGAGUAACACGUGAGAAUUUGCCUUUAGGAGGGGGACAACAAUCGGAAACGAAUGCUAAUACCCCAUAUGCUUUCGAGUGAAAUGGAUUUUAUCCGCCUAGAGAGAAGCUCGCGGCUGAUUAGCUUGUUGGUAAGGUAAGAGCUUACCAAGGCGACGAUCAGUAUCUGGUUUGAGAGGACGAUCAGACACACUGGAACUGAGACACGGUCCAGACUCCUACGGGAGGCAGCAGUGGGGAAUUUUCCGCAAUGGGCGAAAGCCUGACGGAGCAAUACCGCGUGAGGGAAGAAUGCCUAUGGGUUGUAAACCUCUUUUUUCAGGGAGGAAUCAAAUGACGUGUACCUGAAGAAUAAGCAUCGGCUAACUCCGUG
rnacentral:rRNA from 1 species